UCCCUGUUCUGUGGUGGCGUGCGCUGUCUUGUCAUAUUAAGCUGUUGAGAGGUCCUUAGCUGUUGUCAACGGCAGGUAUUCUGUGCGGACAUCAAGAGACCUAAAGUCAAUGUCGUCUUCUCCGUGAUCCACUGCGGAUCUCGAAUCCCUCUGGACAAUGUGCCGUUUCCAGUUGUCAAGGGAACCGUCAAAGUAUGCAUAUCUGGAAUGGAAUACUAGCAGAAGACACAGGAGAAAAAGAAGACCAAAUAUGUUACAUCGUGAUGCACUUGCAAACGUUUCCAUCUCAUUCAUAUAUGCAGUAGCCUUCCAGUUCAAAGAUUGUGUGCAGGCAGUGUAAGGUGCAUACUUUGCGGCAGCUGUAUUUAACGUAUUUUCCCUUAUGCAUGUGCCCCUUUUGGGGCCCUUAAGGUAUUUCUAGCCAAUGAAUACAUUUAGGAAAAGCCCAAGAGCAUUAUGACUGUGAACGAGACACAUAACCGGGGGUUGCUGCACACCGAAAUGUUCAGUUUUGCUAGGACCUUUUCUACCUCCUCUCCCACCUUUGACGUUUUGCCAUGCCUUCCCCCCAUCAGUGGUUGCGAGCGAAAGAAAAUCAUGGCUACAUCCCUGGUGUGAACUAUAAGAACAUGGGCUUGUUUUUUUUUCCACUUAUCAAAGCCAACCUGUGUGUCUGUUAACAUGCAAAAACACCAGAAAUAAAUAUUCUUUAUUUCAUUUACAGCAUGCAAGUACCACUGAUUGGCCGAAGGAGUGUACGGAAAAAGUGAACGAACCUCCAAGGCACAAAGAAGAGGGUUCAUGAGGCUUCUCUCCUUUGCAUGGAAAGGCUAUGUAGUAUGCACCAUACAUUGGGUUGCAUGUUUUGGAUACAUGACGGGCAAAAACUAGGCAGCUCUGCGUUGACUAUUUCUAGUUUCACGAUACUUAAUGUACAUGUUAAAGACUUUAGUUCAAAAAUACUAGCUGAUAAAUG